rnacentral:rRNA from 1 species
UACGAAGGGGGCGAGCGUUGUUCGGAUUUACUGGGCGUAAAGGGCGCGCAGGCGGUUCUGUUUGUCGAGUGUGAAAGCCCCGGGCUCAACCUGGGAACUGCGCUCGAAACGGCGGAACUAGAGUUCGGGAGAGGAGAGUGGAAUUCCCAGUGUAGAGGUGAAAUUCGUAGAUAUUGGGAAGAACACCGGUGGCGAAGGCGGCUAUCUGGACCGUAACUGACGCUGAGGCGCGAAAGCGUGGGGAGCAAACAGG